rnacentral:rRNA from 1 species
GUCUACAGCCAUGCUACCCUAAACAAGCCCGAUCCAGUCUGAUCUCAGAAGCUAAGCAGGGUUGGGCCCGGUUAGUACUUGGAUGGGAGACCACCUAGGAAAAACAAGUCCUGUGAGCG